GUUGGGUAGGGGAGCGUUCUGUAAGCCGUCGAAGGUGUGCUGUGAGGCAUGCUGGAGGUAUCAGAAGUGCGAAUGCUGACAUAAGUAACGAUAAAGCGGGUGAAAAGCCCGCUCGCCGGAAGACCAAGGGUUCCUGUCCAACGUUAAUCGGGGCAGGGUGAGUCGACCCCUAAGGCGAGGCCGAAAGGCGUAGUCGAUGGGAAACGGGUUAAUAUUCCCGUACUGGGUGUUACUGCGAAGGGGGGACGGAGAAGGCUAUGUUAGCCGGGCGACGGUUGUCCCGGUUUAAGCGUGCAGGCUUGAGUUCCAGGCAAAUCCGGAACUCUUUAAGGCUGAGGCGUGAUGACGAGGCACCACGGUGCUGAAGUAACAAAUGCCCUGCUUCCAGGAAAAGCCUCUAAGCAUCAGGUAACAUCCAAUCGUACCCCAAACCGACACAGGUGGUCAGGUAGAGAAUACCAAGGCGCUUGAGAGAACUCGGGUGAAGGAACUAGGCAAAAUGGUGCCGUAACUUCGGGAGAAGGCACGCUGGCGCGUAGGUGAAGCGACUUGCUCGUGGAGCUGAAGCCAGUCGAAGAUACCAGCUGGCUGCAACUGUUUAUUAAAAACACAGCACUGUGCAAACACGAAAGUGGACGUAUACGGUGUGACGCCUGCCCGGUGCCGGAAGGUUAAUUGAUGGGGUUAUCCGCAAGGAGAAGCUCUUGAUCGAAGCCCCGGUAAACGGCGGCCGUAACUAUAACGGUCCUAAGGUAGCGAAAUUCCUUGUCGGGUAAGUUCCGACCUGCACGAAUGGCGUAAUGAUGGCCAGGCUGUCUCCACCCGAGACUCAGUGAAAUUGAACUCGCUGUGAAGAUGCAGUGUACCCGCGGCAAGACGGAAAGACCCCGUGAACCUUUACUACAGCUUGACACUGAACAUUGAGCCUUGAUGUGUAGGAUAGGUGGGAGGCUUCGAAGCGUGGACGCCAGUCUGCGUGGAGCCAACCUUGAAAUACCACCCUUUAACGUUUGAUGUUCUAACCUGGCGCCGUUACCCGGCGUGGGGACAGUGUCUGGUGGGUAGUUUGACUGGGGCGGUCUCCUCCCAAAGAGUAACGGAGGAGCACGAAGGUCAGCUAAUCACGGUCGGACAUCGUGAGGUUAGUGCAAUGGCAUAAGCUGGCUUGACUGCGAGAGUGACGGCUCAAGCAGGUGCGAAAGCAGGUCAUAGUGAUCCGGUGGUUCUGAAUGGAAGGGCCAUCGCUCAACGGAUAAAAGGUACUCCGGGGAUAACAGGCUGAUACCGCCCAAGAGUUCAUAUCGACGGCGGUGUUUGGCACCUCGAUGUCGGCUCAUCACAUCCUGGGGCUGAAGUAGGUCCCAAGGGUACGGCUGUUCGCCGUUUAAAGUGGUACGCGAGCUGGGUUUAGAACGUCGUGAGACAGUUCGGUCCCUAUCUGCCGUGGGCGCUGGAAGAUUGAGAGGGGUUGCUCCUAGUACGAGAGGACCGGAGUGAACGCACCGCUGGUGUUCGGGUUGUCAUGCCAAUGGCAUUGCCCGGUAGCUAAGUGCGGAAAAGAUAAGCGCUGAAAGCAUCUAAGCGCGAAACUUGCCUCGAGAUGAAUCUUCCCUGACUCCUUGA
rnacentral:rRNA from 1 species